rnacentral:rRNA from 1 species
GAGCUUGCUCUGAUUUGAUUUUAUCUGACAAAGAGUGGCGAACGGGUGAGUAACACGUGGGUAACCUACCUCUUAGCAGGGGAUAACAUUUGGAAACAAGUGCUAAUACCGUAUAACACUAACAACCGCAUGGUUGUUAGUUGAAAGAUGGUUCUGCUAUCACUAAGAGAUGGACCCGCGGUGCAUUAGCUAGUUGGUAAGGUAAUGGCUUACCAAGGCGAUGAUGCGUAGCCGAGUUGAGAGACUGAUCGGCCACAAUGGGACUGAGACACGGCCCAUACUCCUACGGGAGGCAGCAGUAGGGAAUCUUCCACAAUGGGCGCAAGCCUGAUGGAGCAACGCCGCGUGUGUGAUGAAGGGUUUCGGCUCGUAAAACACUGUUAUAAGAGAAGAACGACAUUGAGAGUAACUGUUCAGUGUGUGACGGUAUCUUAUCAGAAAGGAACGGCUAAAUACGUGCCAGCAGCCGCGGUAAUACGUAUGUUCCAAGCGUUAUCCGGAUUUAUUGGGCGUAAAGCGAGCGCAGACGGUUAUUUAAGUCUGAAGUGAAAGCCCUCAGCUCAACUGAGGAAGGGCUUUGGAAACUGGAUAACUUGAGUGCAGUAGAGGAAAGUGGAACUCCAUGUGUAGCGGUGAAAUGCGUAGAUAUAUGGAAGAACACCGGUGGCGAAAGCGGCUUUCUGGACUGUAACUGACGUUG